rnacentral:rRNA from 1 species
UUGAACGCUGGCGGCAGGCCUAACACAUGCAAGUCGAGCGGUAGCACAGAGAGCUUGCUCUCGGGUGACGAGCGGCGGACGGGUGAGUAAUGUCUGGGAAACUGCCUGAUGGAGGGGGAUAACUACUGGAAACGGUAGCUAAUACCGCAUAACGUCGCAAGACCAAAGUGGGAGACCUUCGGGCCUCAUGCCAUCAGAUGUGCCCAGAUGGGAUUAGCUAGUAGGUGGGGUAACGGCUCACCUAGGCGACGAUCCCUAGCUGGUCUGAGAGGAUGACCAGCCACACUGGAACUGAGACACGGUCCAGACUCCUACGGGAGGCAGCAGUGGGGAAUAUUGCACAAUGGGCGCAAGCCUGAUGCAGCCAUGCCGCGUGUGUGAAGAAGGCCUUCGGGUUGUAAAGCACUUUCAGCGGGGAGGAAGGCGAUAAGGUUAAUAACCUUGUCGAUUGACGUUACCCGCAGAAGAAGCACCGGCUAACUCCGUGCCAGCAGCCGCGGUAAUACGGAGGGUGCAAGCGUUAAUCGGAAUUACUGGGCGUAAAGCGCACGCAGGCGGUCUGUCAAGUCGGAUGUGAAAUCCCCGGGCUCAACCUGGGAACUGCAUUCGAAACUGGCAGGCUAGAGUCUUGUAGAGGGGGGUAGAAUUCCAGGUGUAGCGGUGAAAUGCGUAGAGAUCUGGAGGAAUACCGGUGGCGAAGGCGGCCCCCUGGACAAAGACUGACGCUCAGGUGCGAAAGCGUGGGGAGCAAACAGGAUUAGAUACCCUGGUAGUCCACGCCGUAAACGAUGUCGAUUUGGAGGUUGUGCCCUUGAGGCGUGGCUUCCGGAGCUAACGCGUUAAAUCGACCGCCUGGGGAGUACGGCCGCAAGGUUAAAACUCAAAUGAAUUGACGGGGGCCCGCACAAGCGGUGGAGCAUGUGGUUUAAUUCGAUGCAACGCGAAGAACCUUACCUGGUCUUGACAUCCACAGAACUUUCCAGAGAUGGAUUGGUGCCUUCGGGAACUGUGAGACAGGUGCUGCAUGGCUGUCGUCAGCUCGUGUUGUGAAAUGUUGGGUUAAGUCCCGCAACGAGCGCAACCCUUAUCCUUUGUUGCCAGCGGUUCGGCCGGGAACUCAAAGGAGACUGCCAGUGAUAAACUGGAGGAAGGUGGGGAUGACGUCAAGUCAUCAUGGCCCUUACGACCAGGGCUACACACGUGCUACAAUGGCAUAUACAAAGAGAAGCGACCUCGCGAGAGCAAGCGGACCUCAUAAAGUAUGUCGUAGUCCGGAUUGGAGUCUGCAACUCGACUCCAUGAAGUCGGAAUCGCUAGUAAUCGUAGAUCAGAAUGCUACGGUGAAUACGUUCCCGGGCCUUGUACACACCGCCCGUCACACCAUGGGAGUGGGUUGCAAAAGAAGUAGGUAGCUUAACCUUCGGGAGGGCGCUUACCACUUUGUGAUUCAUGACUGGGGUG